rnacentral:rRNA from 1 species
GCCUACGGGGCGCAGCAGUGGGGGAUAUUGCACAAUGGGGGAAACCCUGAUGCAGCGACGCCGCGUGAGUGAAGAAGUAUUUCGGUACGUAAAGUUCUAUCAGCAGGGAAGAAAAAUGACGGUACCUGACUAAGAAGCUCCGGCUAAAUACGUGCCAGCAGCCGCGGUAAUACGUAUGGAGCAAGCGUUAUCCGGAUUUACUGGGUGUAAAGGGAGCGCAGGCGGCAUGGCAAGUCAGAUGUGAAAGCCCGGGGCUCAACCCCGGGACUGCAUUUGAAACUGUCAGGCUGGAGUGCAGGAGAGGC